UACAGAGGGGGCGAGCGUUGUUCGGAAUUACUGGGCGUAAAGGGCGCGUAGGCGGCCUUCUAAGUCGAACGUGAAAUCCCCGGGCUCAACCCGGGAACUGCGUCCGAUACUGGGAGGCUUGAAUCCGGGAGAGGGAUGUGGAAUUCCAGGUGUAGCGGUGAAAUGCGUAGAUAUCUGGAGGAACACCGGUGGCGAAGGCGACAUCCUGGACCGGUAUUGACGCUGAGGCGCGAAAGCCAGGGGGAGCAAACGGGGAU
rnacentral:rRNA from 1 species